CGUCAGAACAGGAUCUGCUCACGUGUUCACAUUUUCCAUUUCUAUUGUAGCGUACUGUAUGUAUGGUGCAUAAUAUAAUGGUGUAUAUUCUUUAUCACCGUGGACACAUGAGAAAUCACAAACAUUAUUUGCCAAUAUCAUAACUGGCGCUGGACAUCUUUGGAGCUGAAGAAUGAGGACAGCUUUUGUAUGCUAACAUACACCCCUUAACAGUUUUACUGGAUGAAAACACAGCAAGAAAACUCAUAUGCUAAUAUGCAUAGUAUCAUGGCUGGUCACUUGUCAAGUCACCUGUCAGGCAGACUUUGCAAUGCCUCCGUGUGCGACUACCUUGAGAAGCAGUUUGAGGGACUUUGCAGGGAAAAUGCCGUGCAGUGAGGCGUAGGGGAUUGUCUACAGCAGGAAGACCCCCAGUGGAUGGGCGCCGAGGGGUGUGGUGCUCCUCCAGCAGCUCUCUCAUGAGGUUCUCUCUGUAUUUUUGGUGUGAUCGUAUGCUUCAGGGACCACUGUAGAACGAUCAUACCCGUGUGAUGGUAUGUGUGAAAGGGUUCAUUUCAACAACCACAGAAAAUCUUAUUGGACCUUUCGCAGAUUUUACAUAAGCACUUACUUUUCUGUCUGUGAACAGCACUGGCCAUCUAGAUUUGAUGUCAAUCACAAUCUCCUUUCUUCUUAAAGUUAAUGAGAAAGUAGUCAUCAUUGAUGCAGAAACAGUUACUCAGUCAGGACUUAUUUUCUGAAUCUCUUCUUGCAUAUAAUCCUUAUUGUUGAAAUAACUUCACAAAUGAGAAAAGUACUGCUUAACAUUACAGGGCUCAGAAAAAUUACAGAGGUCACAUUUUAUACAAGCAGUAACUGUUUCAUGAACAUUUCUUCAGUGUUGAGUCAAAUGCAUCUUGAGUGCUAUUUCUGUUUUAAAGGUGCACUGACAGUCUUGAUCCAUCAAUGUAUCUUGCAUCAUGUCCAUGAUUCAAUUUGUAAUGUCUAAUAAGGAUGCGUUGAUUUGAUGUGUCAAAUCUGCAGUACUUACAGUUCCACUUCAUCCAUUGAAGAAUAAUGCUUUUGGAUUUCCAAUCAUCUAAAAAAAGAAUGUUUACAUAAACCUUUAAAAAAAUAUAUAUAUGACUUAAGUUCAUGUUAAUUAGCAAAUUCUGAAAUUGGUUAAAAAUUCUAGAUAUAAGUGCUG
ensembl:lncRNA